rnacentral:rRNA from 1 species
UCCCCGGGCUUAACCUGGGAACUGCAUGUGAUACUGGUGGUGCUAGAAUAUGUGAAAGGGAAGUAAAAUUCCAGGUGUAGCGGUGAAAUGCGUAAAGAUCUGGAGGAAUACCGAUGGCGAAGGCAGCUUCCUGGCAUAAUAUUGACACUGAGAUUCAAAAGCGUGGGUAGCAAACAGGAUUAAAUACCCUGGUAGUCCACGCCGUAAACGAUGUCUACUAGCCGUUGGGGUCCUUGAGACUUUAGUGGCGCAGUUAACGCGAUAAGUAGACCGCCUGGGGAGUACGGCCGCAAGGUUAAAACUCAAA